rnacentral:SRP_RNA from 1 species
GCCAGAUGCUGUGUUGUGUGCCUGUAGUCCCAGCUACUUGGGAGGCUGAGGCAGGAAGAUCUCUCGAGCCCAGGAGUUCUGGGCUGUAGUGCGCUAUGCCGAUCAAGUGUUCGCACUAAGUUCAGCAUCAAUAUGGUGACCUCCAGGGAGUGGAGGACCACCAGGUUGCCUAAGGGGGAGUGAACCAGCCCAGAUCAGAAACAGAGCACGUCAAAACUUCCGUGCUGAUCCAUAUUGGGAUCACGCCUGUGAACAGCCACUGCACUCCAGCCUGGGUGAUAUGGUUUGGCUGUGUCCC